GGAGGGGUAGCCUAGUGGCCUAAGGCGCUCGCCUGGAACGCGGGUAAGGGUAACACCUUCGUGGGUUCAAAUCCCACCUCCUCCG
rnacentral:tRNA from 1 species